GCGGGCAUGGCGGAAUUGGCAGACGCGACGGAUUUAGGAUCCGUUGGGCAACCGUGCAGGUUCAAGUCCUGUUGCCCGCA
rnacentral:tRNA from 1 species